UACACUCCUACGGGAGGCAGCAGUGGGGAAUAUUGGACAAUGGGCGCAAGCCUGAUCCAGCCAUGCCGCGUGAGUGAUGAAGGCCCUAGGGUUGUAAAGCUCUUUCACCGGUGAAGAUAAUGACGGUAACCGGAGAAGAAGCCCCGGCUAACUUCGUGCCAGCAGCCGCGGUAAUACGAAGGGGGCUAGCGUUGUUCGGAUUUGCUGGGCGUAAAGCGCACGUAGGCGGACUAUUAAGUCAGGGGUGAAAUCCCGGGGCUCAACCCCGGAACUGCCUUUGAUACUGGUAGUCUUGAGUUCGAGAGAGGUGAGUGGAAUUCCGAGUGUAGAGGUGAAAUUCGUAGAUAUUCGGAGGAACACCAGUGGCGAAGGCGGCUCACUGGCUCGAUACUGACGCUGAGGUGCGAAAGCGUGGGGAGCAAACAGGAUUAGAUACCCUUGUAGUCCCA
rnacentral:rRNA from 1 species